AUUGAACGCUGGCGGCAGGCCUAACACAUGCAAGUCGAACGGUAACAGGAAGCAGCUUGCUGCUUCGCUGACGAGUGGCGGACGGGUGAGUAAUGUCUGGGAAACUGCCUGAUGGAGGGGGAUAACUACUGGAAACGGUAGCUAAUACCGCAUAACGUGCAAGACCAAAGAGGGGGACCUUCGGGCCUCUUGCCAUCGGAUGUGCCCAGAUGGGAUUAGCUAGUAGGUGGGGUAACGGCUCACCUAGGCGACGAUCCCUAGCUGGUCUGAGAGGAUGACCAGCCACACUGGAACUGGACACGGUCCAGACUCCUACGGGAGGCAGCAGUGGGGAAUAUUGCACAAUGGGCGCAAGCCUGAUGCAGCCAUGCCGCGUGUAUGAAGAAGGCCUUCGGGUUGUAAAGUACUUUGCAGCGGGGAGGAAGGCGAUAAGGUUAAUAACCUUGUCGAUUGACGUUACCCGCAGAAGAGCACCGCUAACUCCCA
rnacentral:rRNA from 1 species